rnacentral:rRNA from 1 species
UGAUUAUAAACUAAUGUAUAAUUUACCAGAGUACUAUGAACACACAGUUUAAAACUCAAAGGGCUUGGCGGUGCUUUAGACUAUUCAGGGGAACCUGUCUCGUAAUCGAUAGUCCACGAUACACCUAACCUUUUUUAGUUAUCAGUAUGUAUACCGUCGUCGUCAGGUAACUUUUAAAAAUAAAGAAGUUAGCGAUAAAAAUUAUGAUAAUUUUGUACGUCAGAUCAAGGUGCAGCUUAUAAAAAGGUGAGGAUGGGUUACAAUUAAGAUUUAUAAUAACGGAAAAAAGCUUGAUACAGCUUUUAAUG